rnacentral:SRP_RNA from 1 species
GCCGGGUGCGGUGGCGCGCGCCUGUAAUCCAAGCUACCGGGAGGCUGAGGCUGGCGGAUCGCUUGAGCUCAGGAGCUCUGAGCUGCAGCGGACUAUGUCGAUCGGGUGUCCGCACUAAGUUCGGUAUCGAUAUGGUGCUCCUGGGGGAGCCCGGGACCACCAGGUCGUCUAAGGAGGGGUGCACCGGCCCAGGUCGGAAACGGAGCAGGUCAAAGCCCCCGUGCCGCUCAGUAGUGGGAUCGCGCCUGUGAAUAGACGCUGUAGUGCAGCCUGAGUAACACAGCGGGACCCAGUCUUUU